GUUUGCUCAUGUAAGGUUUGAGAAUUUAGCAGAGCAUGGACUGGUUUAGAAGUCAACGUUAUCAACUAGCAUGAUUAUACACACAUGCACAGACACACAAACACACACACAAACCAUGAACUCACUCAAACACACACACAUAGACUCACACACAUGUGCACACUCCAGUGCCCUCAUGCCCUGAGCCCUCCCUCCUUGUCCCUUUAUCCCUGUCUGGUUGGAAAGGUCAGUGCAUGUCUGGGAAAAGGGGGUCCCUGGAUCCCCAAACCCUGCCACUCCACACACACACAUGCACACACACACACACACACACACGGGGUCACAUAUGUAACUCCACAUUUUAAUAGGCACUUCUCCAUAACACAAGCACUGUGCACAAGUAUGUUUCACAUAAAAACACAGUAAACCUCUGCGUGUCAGUUAUGAGGGGACCUGAGAGAAAUGUAUCUGCACUGGUCAGCAUCAGCCGAGUCCCCCCCCCCCCUCUACCAGACAGUGCACCAGCCAAGUACCCCUCAACCCCCCCACCGCUCAACCUCUAUGAAAGACGAGAGUGAAUACAUUCAAAUGGAAAACAUGCUCUAUUGUGACCGAUGUUUUGUCUCCUCAUGAUGUAAAUAGCUACACUGGCCAGCGAACAGAGAUGUGCGGGCCAAGCUGAUAAAAACGCAGCAGCAGUGGUCGUUGAUGUCAUAUCCACUGUCAUGUGACAGGCGUGGGUUUAAGACACACUUUUGUAACACUAUUUUGACUCACUGGUUUGUGCUCACAAACUGGAGAAAAGUCCACAAACACACACACAGAGCACAUGUGUGUUUGUGGUGUUACAUGUUUGGGUGUCCAGCUGGAUCAUAUACUGUCUAGAUGUCCUCCUUCUCCUUUGCUCCUGGUGCAUCAGACACUGCCCUGUUCUUAAACACACACACACACACACACACACACACACACAGGAACGCACACAGGAACAUAGACAGCACAGUCUAGGAUAUGGAGGGAAACCCUCUGUAUCCUUCAUGAACCUCCUGACCUGAAGCCCAAUACAGCCAACCAGGACAGAGGGGGAGGGAAGAGAGGGAAGCUAAGGUUGGGAAGAAGGGUGAGACUGCGAGCCCAGCUGGGGUGGGGGAGGAGGAGAAAAAGCUCCCUCACCCUGUGCUCUCUGACCUGCAGCUAGGAGGGGGACUCGUCAUGUCUGGUCCACUACAUGGCUUCAGAUGAACUGUCCAGGGCUCGACACCAGAAGGAAGAGCUUCUCAGAACGGUGUGAAUUAAAUGUUGACUAACCUGAGUCCAUCAACUCGACUGCAUGACACACACCUCAAAACUGCUGUCUAUCUCUUUUAAACAGAGGAGAAGGAAAGAUGAUGAAACUGUGGAGGGACAUUUGCAAACUUCAUUAUAACAAAUGAUGUCACUGCUGUUUUACUACUAAAGACCUGUUGACUUAAAUUUCAUAAAACUAUAUAUUUAGUCCCGUCGUGUUAAUGAAAUCAACACACGUUCACACACAUUAACAGACUGUCUGAUAAAGUGUUUGAACAGGAAGAAGUAUGAAAGUACAAAGAUGGUCAGUUGUGGCGAUGGCUGAAGGUGCGCGGACGUCAAAAGUGUAACACCGGAGCUGAAGAUAGGGAUGAAGCGAAAUGCAACUUAUGAUGCAAAAAUAUUUUCCUGCAAAAGUGACACAACCACUACGGUUGAACACAUCAGUCUUGUGCAUCAAAUCAAAGUACCUGCAGUACUUUUGAAACAACUCUGUCAGCUCCUCAAAGCAGCCGGGAUAAAAACAGACAGAAGUCUCAUUAGUAAAAAAUCAUAAUCCAGUGUUGAAUUGGAUGUUUAAAAUCCAUGUUGAAAUUAGCAGGAUAAAAGUUGGUAAGCAAACUAACCAAAUGGCACACGAUGACUUUACAAGGUGUUCAAGGUCAGGUUGGAAAAAUGACAAUGAGGUGAACAUAAAUAAUACAUUAUCUAGAUGUGUUCAAGUGCCACGUCCAGAAAAUGAAAACUUUUUUGGUGAUCAAUCUGUAUACAAAAGAUACCCAAAAGAUACAAAAGUUAGAGGGAAAACUGUAUCAGGAAAGACUUGAUAGCGGUAUCGAUAAGGACUUGGAUUAUUAAAGAGUUUUGGUCAUGGCAUCAGUAUGAAUAAAUAUCGUGAAUUUGCUCUCUACCAAUAAAAGUUGUUGGUGAUAUUUCAUUCAGGAUCUUAGAACCAACCUUUGUAUUG
rnacentral:lncRNA from 1 species